rnacentral:rRNA from 1 species
UACGUAGGGUGCAAGCGUUAAUCGGAAUUACUGGGCGUAAAGCGCACGUAGGUGGACAUUUAAGUCGGAUGUGAAAUCCCUGGGCUUAACCUAGGAAUUGCGUCCGAUACUGAACGUCUAGAGUAUGGUAGAGGGAAGUGGAAUUUCCGGUGUAGCGGUGAAAUGCGUAGAUAUCGGAAGGAACACCAGUGGCGAAAGCGAC